GGGGCGGGCCGGAUGACCGCCGGGUGCCUCUUGGGGCACCGGGAGGAAAGUCCGGGCUCCACAGGGCAGGGUGCUGGGUAACGCCCAGCGGGGGUAACUCCGGGCAAGCGCAACAGAGAGCAGACCGCCGCCGGUGACGGCGGUAAGGGUGAAAGGGUGAGGUAAGAGCUCACCGGCCGGGCGGGCAACCGUCCGGGCCAGGCAAGCCCCAUCGGGAGCAAAACCAAAUAGGGCGGCGAUAAGGCGGCCCGUCUUGCCGCCGGGUAGGUUGCUGGAGCUGCGGGGUAACUCGCGGCCUAGAUGAAUGGUCAUCACCUCCGCUUCAUUGCGGAGGCACAGAACCCGGCUUACAGGCCUCCCCUUCCG
rnacentral:RNase_P_RNA from 1 species